CGCGGGGUAAGCGGCCAGGUGCGGGUGGGCCAGGCGAGUGGCGCCAGGCACCAAAGGAAGCGCGCGCCAGGAAGGGAGGGAAGAGAGAAGGAGAAAUGAGGAAGGAGGAAGAAGGAACAAGGAAGAAAGAGAAGGAAGAAAAUGAAGAAAAAGAAAAGAGGAAAAAGGAGAAGGGGAAAAGGAAAAAGGGGAGAGAGGGGGAGUCGGCAAAAAACGCAGAAAAUGGUCGGGCACGCGCGACAGAUUUUGACGGGCACGCGGCAAAAACUUGCGGAGGGAGAAAAAGAUGACUGUGGCGUUGGGUGCCGAGACAGCAAGGUUGCCGGGAAGGAAAAGAUUUUCGGGAGCUCAACGGUCGAAAGAUUUUGAAAACAAAUCUUUAGCAGGUGAUUUGAGUUAGUAGAUUUUACGGAUAUUACACCUUGCCACCUCUUGACUUCUACCGGAGCUAAGCAUGGAUAAGCAAUUAAUUUCGUGACACCUAUACAAGCAUACUUGCCUAGAAGGAGUUGUUC
rnacentral:lncRNA from 1 species